rnacentral:rRNA from 1 species
AAAUCCACGCAGGGUGAGCCGGCCCCUAAGGCGAGGCCGAAAGGCGUAGUCGAUGGGAACCACGUUAAUAUUCGUGGGCUUGUUGGAAGUGACGAAGGCCGAAAGCUGUAUCCUCUAAUUGGAUUGAGGGUGCAGCCUGGGACUUCCAGGAAAUAACUCCAACGUAUAAACCGUACCCUAAACCGACACAGGUGGACUGGUAGAGUAUACCAAGGCGCUUGAGAGAACGAUGUUGAAGGAACUCGGCAAAUUGCUUGCGUAACUUCGGGAUAAGCAAGCCCCAUCUUUGGGCAACCAUCGAUGGGGGGCACAAGCCAGGGGGUAGCGACUGUUUAUCAAAAACACAGGGCUCUGCGAAAUCGUAAGAUGACGUAUAGGGUCUGACGCCUGCCCGGUGCCGGAAGAUUAAGAGGAGGGGUUAACGCUCUGAAUCGAAGUCCCGGUAAACGGCGGCCGUAACAAUAACGGUCCUAAGGUAGCGAAAUUCCUUGUCGGGUAAGUUCCGACCUGCACGAAUGGCGUAACGACUUCCCCGCUGUCUCCAGCAUCGACUCAGCGAAAUUGAACUCCCCGUGAAGAUGCGGGGUACCCGCGGUCAGACGGAAAGACCCUAUGAACCUUUACUGUAGCUUUGCAGUGGUAUUACGCUUGUUAUGUGUAGAAUAGGUGGGAGACUUUGAAGCUUGGGCGCUAGCCUGAGUGGAGUCAUUAGUGAAAUACCGCCCUUGAUUUUCGUGAUAUCUAACCUCGUCCCAUUAUCUGGGACAGGGACCCUGCAUGGUAGGCAGUUUGACUGGGGCGGUCGCCUCCCAAAUUGUAACGGAGGCGCGCGAUGGUAGGCUCAGGUUGGUCGGAAAUCAACCUACGAGUGCAUUGGCAGAAGCCUGCCUGACUGUAAGACUGACAAGUCGAGCAGAGUCGAAAGACGGUCAAAGUGAUCCGGUGGUUCCGCAUGGAAGGGCCAUCGCUCAACGAAUAAAAGGUACUCUAGGGAUAACAGGCUGAUAGCGCCCAAGCGUCCACAGCGACGGCGCUGUUUGGCACCUCGAUGUCGGCUCAUCUCAUCCUGGGGCUGGAGCAGGUCCCAAGGGUAUGGCUGUUCGCCAUUUAAAGAGGUACGUGAGCUGGGUUCAGAACGUCGUGGGACAGUUCGGUCCCUAUCUGCCGUGGGUGUUGGAAUAUAGAGAGGAUCUGUCCUUAGUACGAGAGGACCGGGAUGGACACACCUCUGGUGUACCGGUUGUCGCGCCAGCGGCAAGAGCCGGGUAGCUAUGUGUGGAAGGGAUAACUGCUGAAUGCAUCUAAGUAGGAAGCCCCCCUCAAAACUAGUAUUCCCUAU